CCUACGGGAGGCAGCAGUGGGGAAUAUUGGACAAUGGGCGAAAGCCUGAUCCAGCAAUGCCGCGUGAGUGAUGAAGGCCUUAGGGUUGUAAAGCUCUUUUACCAGGGAUGAUAAUGACAGUACCUGGAGAAUAAGCUCCGGCUAACUCCGUGCCAGCAGCCGCGGUAAUACGGAGGGAGCUAGCGUUGUUCGGAAUUACUGGGCGUAAAGCGUACGUAGGCGGUUAUUCAAGUCAGAGGUGAAAGCCUGGAGCUCAACUCCAGAACUGCCUUUGAAACUAGAUAGCUAGAAUCUUGGAGAGGUGAGUGGAAUUCCGAGUGUAGAGGUGAAAUUCGUAGAUAUUCGGAAGAACACCAGUGGCGAAGGCGACUCACUGGACAAGUAUUGACGCUGAGGUACGAAAGCGUGGGGAGCAAACAGGAUUAGAUACCCUGGUAGUCCACGCCGUAAACGAUGAUAACUAGCUGUUCGGGCUCUACGAGCUUGGUAGUGCGCACGACUACGUACUAUUAAGUUACGUCCGUCCGUCGGGUAGGUACGGUACGACGAAGAAUAAACGUAACGAAGAAGUAGACGACGAGAGACGACGACGACGACGACGACGAGGGAGAG
rnacentral:rRNA from 1 species